rnacentral:lncRNA from 1 species
CAUGAGGUACUUAUCAAAUCUUAUGAUAUACUCGGUGACUGAUCUAUUCCCUUGAGUGAGCCUUUACCAUUGAUCUAAAAGUCUUUAUUGGUAGGAGGUGGGGAGGUACUUCUCUCUGAGUUUCUCUUUCAUCUCAUCUCAGAUUUCUAUCGGGUCUUGUCUUCUCUGGUUGAGAAGACGCUCAACAUUUUUCCAAUAAAGUCGGACUUGCCCAACCAACUUCAUCCUAGC